AGACCUAGAAGAGGUGAUGACAGUGGCAUUGGUGACAACCUUAUUGAGAUCAAGAAGGAAGGCCCUCAAGAGCAGGGAACUGGCCAACUUAUCUUCAACAAAGGAUACAAAAACAUUAAGUGCAGAAAGGACACUCUAUCCAAUAAAUGGAGCUGGGAUAAUUGGCAAGCCACAUGUAGAAAAUGAAACUGAAUCAUCAUCUCUCACAUUAUAUAGAAAUCAACUCAAGAUGGAUCAAAGUCUUAAAUCUAAAAUCUGAAACAUAAAAAUUCUAGAAGAUAGGAUCAGAAAAACUCUUCUAUACACUGGCUUAGGCAAAGAAUUCAUGAGCAAGAACCCAAAAGCAAAUGCAAUAAAAUCAAAAAUAAAUAAAUGGGACCUAAUAAAACUAAAAAGCUCUGCACAGCUUUAAUAAUCAGCAAUUAUCAACAGUUAUCAAAAAUAAUCAACAGUUAUCAGACAACCCACAGAGUGAGAGAAGAUAUUCACAAACUAUGCAUCUAACAAAGGACUAAUAUCCAGUAUCUACAGUGAACUCAAACAAAUGAGCAAGAAAAACAUCAGAUAAUCCCAUCAAAAAGUGGGCAAAGGACAUGAAUAGACAAUUCUCAAAAGAAGAUAUACAAACUGCCAACAAUCAUAUGAAAAAAUGCUCAUCAUCACUAAUUCAGGGAAAUGCAAAUUAAAAACACAAAGAGAUGUAACUUUACUUUUGCAAGAAUGGCCAUAAUUAAAAAAUCAAAAAAUAAUAGUUGUUGGUGUGGAUGUGGUGGAAAGGGAACCCUUUUACAUUACCGGUGGGCUUGUAAAACUAGUACAACCACCAUGGAAAACAGUAUGGAGAUUCCUUAAAGAACUAAAAGUAGAACUACCAUUUGAUUCAGCAAUCCCACUACUGGGUAUCUACCCAAAGGAAAAGAAGUCAUUAUACAAACACACACACACACACACACACACACACACACUCGCACACGUUUAUGGCAGCACAAUUCGCAACUGCAAAGAUAUGGAAGCAACCUAAAUAACUAUUGACCAAUGAGAGGAUAAAGGAAAUGUGACAUACAUACAUCAUGGAAUACUACUCAGUCAUAAAAUGGAAAGAAAUAAUGGCUUUUGCAGCAACUUGGAUGGAGUUGAAGGGCAUUAUUCUAAGUGAAGUAACUCAGGAAUGGAAAACCAAAUAUAGUAUGUUCUCACUUAUAAGUGGGAACUAAGGUAUGAAGACACAAAAGUAUAUAAUGGUAUAAUGGACUUUGGGGACUUGAGGGAAAAGGUGGAGGGGGUGAGAGACAAAAGACUACAUUUUGGGUACAGUGUAUACUGCUCAGGUGACAGGUGCAACAAAGUCUCAGAAAUCACCACUAAAGAACUUAUCCAUGUAAACAAAACCACCUAUUCUCCAAAAGCUGUUGAAAUUAAAAUUCAAAAAAUAAAAAUAAAAAUAAAUACCUAUUUUGUUUUAAUUUGUUUUUGAGAUGGAGUUUCACUCUCGUUGCCCAGGCUGGAGUGCAAUGGCAUGAUCUUGGCUCACUGUAACCUC
rnacentral:lncRNA from 10 species